GGAUGGGUCUGCGGCCGAUUAGGUAGUUGGUUAGGUAACGGCUUACCAAGCCAUUGAUCGGUACGGGUUGUGAGAGCAAGAGCCCGGAGAUGGAAUCUGAGACAAGGUUCCAGGCCCUACGGGGUGCAGCAGGCGCGAAACCUCCGCAAUGUGAGAAAUCGCGACGGGGGGAUCCCAAGUGCCAUUCUUAACGGGAUGGCUUUUCAUUAGUGUAAGGAGCUUUUGGAAUAAGGGCUGGGCAAGACCGGUGCCAGCCGCCGCGGUAACACCGGCAGCUCUAGUGGUAGCAGUUUUUAUUGGGCCUAAAGCGUCCGUAGCCGGUUUAAUAAGUCUCUGGUGAAAUCCUGUAGCUUAACUGUGGGAAUUGCUGGAGAUACUAUUAGACUUGAGACCGGGAGAGGUUAGAGGUACUCCCAGGGUAGAGGUGAAAUUCUGUAAUCCUGGGAGGACCGCCUGUUGCGAAGGCGUCUAACUGGAACGGUUCUGACGGUGAGGGACGAAAGUUAGGGGCGCGAACCGGAUUAGAUACCCGGGUAGUCCUAACUGUAAACGAUGCGGACUUGGUGUUGGGGUGGCUUUGAGCUGCUCCAGUGCCGAAGGGAAGCUGUUAAGUCCGCCGCCUGGGAAGUACGGUCGCAAGACUGAAACUUAA
rnacentral:rRNA from 1 species